rnacentral:rRNA from 1 species
UGGGGAAUUUUGGACAAUGGGGGCAACCCUGAUCCAGCCAUGCCGCGUGCGGGAAGAAGGCCUUCGGGUUGUAAACCGCUUUUGUUCGGGAAGAAAAGACCACGGCUAAUACCUGUGGUUCUUGACGGUACCGGAAGAAUAAGCACCGGCUAACUACGUGCCAGCAGCCGCGGUAAUACGUAGGGUGCGAGCGUUAAUCGGAAUUACUGGGCGUAAAGCGUGCGCAGGCGGUUCGUUGUGUCUGCUGUGAAAUCCCCGGGCUCAACCUGGGAAUGGCAGUGGAAACUGGCGAGCUUGAGUGUGGCAGAGGGGGGUGGAAUUCCGCGUGUAGCAGUGAAAUGCGUAGAGAUGCGGAGGAACACCGAUGGCGAAGGCAACCCCCUGGGCUGACACUGACGCUCAGGCACGAAAGCGUGGGGAGCAAACAGGAUUAGAUACCCCCGUAGUCC